AAGCGCUUGCAAUCAGACUUGCACUUGGUGUUCAUCAGGGUCUCGUACCCUGUGUACUUCAUCAAGUUCAGGCCAGCAUCAGUUUGAGUGGUUAGAUAAAGGCGGCGGGAAUGUGGCUCUCUUCGGGGAGUGUU
rnacentral:rRNA from 1 species